UUUUUUAAAGAAAGAAUUUAUCUUUUGGAUGGGGAAGACUGAGGAGAAAACUAUCUUUAUAUAUUUGAGAUGUCCAAGCAUUUUCACUUUAUCUUUCUAUGAAUUUAGGAUGAUAUUGUCUUGUUUCCACUAUAUGUUGAGGCCAUAAGGUUUGCAUUUCAUGAGGAGAGCAUGGUUUGCACUGCAGUAUGAACUGUAACCCUUAAUGUUUAUCACGGUGAGAUUUUUCUUAAUUAUGACCAAAGGGAAAAAUCAAGUUUUACUUCGUGGCAACUUUAACAAGGUUUCAUUUGCCAUUGCCAAUGCUCUAUGCCGAAGAAAUAUUCAGGUAGCUUUAUUGCAUAAGGAAGAGCUGAAGAUGCUUUAACACAGAGUCACAAAAUCCAAAGGACGCUUUACUCUUUCACCAAUCAAUACUCCAAAGGUAGGUAAGAAAGAAAUCACAAGGAAGCACAAGCUGUUCGGGCUGCUGCAAUUGCUGCUGCGGCAUCUUCUAGGGUUUCUUCCUUCCGAAAAGACUCUCUAGAUGAAUCUAUGUAACAAGAGAAUUUGUUGAAGUUGGAUGCUUUAAGUGGGAGGAAUGGUGCUGAUUCUCAGCCAAUGCCAAGAGCCAAAGAGACACUUUCAAGAGUAGCUAUGACAAGAACGUCAUCAGAGAAAUAUUCUGAUUUCAGCUUGCCAACCUCAGAAUAUUCUAAGGAGCAAUCUAAAUCAUGUGAUAUCUGCAGACGAUCCGAGACUUUGUUUAAAUCUGAUUAUGUGAGAAGCUUGAGGCAGAAAAAAAUGGAC